AUGUCCAUUAUGGUCCCAUUAUGGUUGAUGUGUAACCUUUUGGGGAUGUUUUUAUUUUUUCACAGGCCACAGUUUUACAACAGUUCAUGUCCCGAGGAACCAGCCGCCGAGCUAGAGGAGCUGAUCGGUGUUGAGCCGGAUCGUGGUCCCGAUCGCAGUGGGAGUGCUUCCCCGUCCUGCGGGCCCCCAAAUUCCAAAGCGGUUCCCUAUUCGGUGGAAGCGGUGCUCGCACCCGGGAUUUCCAAACCUUUUCCGUCGCUUUUUGGGUCAAACGGGGACUCUGCCUCCUCGUCUUCCCCACCGCGUUCUUUUGCUCCGCUGUCGGUCCCGGCCCACCGGGUAGAGGCGCCGUACUCCGUGGAGGCCGUCCUCAGGUCGGUCAAGUCCGUCGGAAGUUCUAACUUGACCCCCGCCAGGGAACCGCCUCCAUCCGCCAAUCCUCCGUGGACCUAUUACGGUUCGGACCUUUCCAAGGAGUUCCCAAAAGCUUCCCGGUUCUCGGGGCCGUUCCGUGGAAAGGAUUCGCGUUUGGAACACAACACCGGGGAAGCAAUUGACGCCGAAGCAAGGCCGAACGGAAAUCAAGAUGUUCCAUCCUCGAAUCAGGGUCAUAAACAAGCCAAACGCUGUCUGCCUGUGAAUAAAUGUGUCCCUCCGUACUAUCAGAGCUCUACAGAGGGCAUUGGAGUAGUUAUCAACUCAAACAGUUCGACGGAUGUCCGUGUUCCACCCGUUCAACCGGAAACCCGACCAGCUGAGGAAACGAGGAAAGCCUUCCACAGCCUUUUCGCAAACCCUCUUAAUCAGAACGUCUUCAACCCUCCCCGUCUCACACCACUUCCUGCUGCUGCACCGUCAACCCCCAGACACUCUGCACCGUCAAACCCCAGACACUCUGCACCGUCACCUACACGCGCUACACCUUCAACAAACAGGAAGGAGAAGACCGCUUCUGCUGACGCUAACGCUGGCCACAGUACACAUGUUCCAGCAAGGCCUCUCGCUCUCAAACCUGAACACGGACCAAGUGCGGCCUUUAAGGUCGCUAAGCCAGCAGUGCCUUCUGGCUCAAAGUCCCGGAGCACAGAGUCACCCGGCCCCUCUCCCCAAGCCAAGACGGCUUGCCGAGCGAGCGCACCGGCUCACUGUGAUCGAUCUGUACUGGGACGUAGUAAGCCUGUGAAGCGGCCCUACCACAGCAGCAUGGCGAGCUCAGGUACUGACACCGAUGAGGAUCUGCCUCCCUUACAGAUCGCGAUGGACCCGAUGGUCGGUUCUUCCGAUUCCCCAGAGCCGAGCGACGGGGAGCCGCCGGUCAAGGCCAGCGGGGGAGUGCUGCGCGGUCUGUUUGCGACCCCCAUCCACCAGACUACUGCUAUUGCGCCGCCUCCCUCGACCCCGGGGCACCGGGGUCCUUGGGAGCCUUGCCCUGCAGGGGGCAGCGGUGCACACCACACCCGGACACCUGGUGCUGCAGGCUCACCUGCGUCUCGUCCGGGUCCAAAACAUCCGAAGGAAAAAGAGCAGGAAUCCCGAACAACCGGCCCUCCGCCGCCGCCAGCUCAUUCCGUUCGGAAGAAUUUGCACAUGCCCGAAAUUUCUUCGGAGAAAGCCCCUUCCCAUGCAGCCACUAACACUAGUAAUUCAGUUCUCAAGAGCCUCUUCCUAAACUUGAGACCCUACAACCAGGAAGAACAACGUGUUACCCACAGCAAAAGUGGAGACAAAGAUGAGAUAAACCACAGGGCCAUCUCCAAAGAACCACAAACGACAGGAGAGGAGGAGGAGGAGGAAGAAGAAGAAGAAAAAGAGGAGGAGGAGGAGGAAGAGGAGGAGGAAGAAGAAGAAGAAGAAAAAGAGGAGGAGGAGGAGGAGGCCAGAAGGAAGGCGAUGAGGAGCACAGAGAUGUUGGGAGGAGUUGAGCCAGCAGGGUGUCAUGUGCAUCCUGACCACCAGGGCUCCGGUGAACCUCCCAGUCAGCCACCAGCUCCAGCUCAUCACCGGUCCCUGGAGAAGAACCCCCACAGCCGCUCUCCAAGGCCCUCUGCUGUGCGUCCGGCAGGCCGUUUGGACCCAGUCCAGCUCCUAUCCCACGGCGCUGAACAGCCUCCGAUCGGAUCAAACGGGCCCCUGACCCGGCCUCAGAGCCGACCGCCUCUGACCUCCAUGAAGGGGCUGCUGUCGAGCCUCUUCAAGACUCUGGACCCUGCUGCCUCUCCCUUUGGAAAUUAG
rnacentral:lncRNA from 1 species